rnacentral:rRNA from 1 species
UACGUAGGGUGCGAGCGUUGUCCGGAAUUAUUGGGCGUAAAGGGCUCGUAGGCGGUUUGUCGCGUCGGGAGUGAAAAUCCAGGGCUUAACUCUGGACUGGCUUCCGAUACGGGCAGACUAGAGGUAUGCAGGGGAGAACGGAAUUCCUGGUGUAGCGGUGAAAUGCGCAGAUAUUAGGAGGAACACCGAUGGCGAAGGCAGGUCUCUGGGCUGACACUGACGCUCAUGCACGAAAGCGUGGGGAGCAAACAGG